rnacentral:rRNA from 1 species
UGGGGAAUAUUGCACAAUGGGCGAAAGCCUGAUGCAGCAACGCCGCGUGAGUGAUGAAGGUCUUCGGGUUGUAAAGCUCUGUCUUCUGGGACGAUAAUGACGGUACCAGAGGAGGAAGCCACGGCUAACUACGUGCCAGCAGCCGCGGUAAUACGUAGGUGGCAAGCGUUGUCCGGAUUUACUGGGCGUAAAGGAUGCGUAGGCGGAUACUUAAGUCAGAUGUGAAAAUCCCGGGCUUAACUUGGGAACUGCAUUUGAAACUGGGUAUCUAGAGUGCGGGAGAGGAAAGUGGAAUUCCUAGUGUAGCGGUGAAAUGCGUAGAGAUUAGGAAGAACACCAGUGGCGAAGGCGACUUUCUGGACCGUAACUGACGCUGAGGCAUGAAAGCGUGGGGAGCAAACA